CUUUUACAUCGAACUAUGUAUAUGUUUUGAAUUAUACAAUUUAAAUAUUAUAUAUUACUUAAAUAUGUAUUAAAUUGUUAUAUUUUUAAAUAAUAAAAUAACAAAGCAAAUAAAUAUAGUAAAUAAAUAGAUAAAUAAAAAGUGUAUACAUAAAAAAAAGGAAAAAAAAGAGCUGAUGCUGGGGAUGGGAGCGGCUACUGUUGUAGGUGAAAAGUUGGGAAGGUAGGAUACAUAAGGUUAUUUCAUUUAUAUCUGUAAGCAACGUCCAGUAACACUUAAUUUGAAGUACCGUAGUUAUUUUUGCGAUUUUUAUUUAAAUUUGAUUUGAAAUUUUUGAAGUCAAAAUGUAAAACGCUACUCAUUCAGACGACGCAUUGAUUCAUUUAUUUAUUUUAAUUUAUGUACACAUUUUUAUUUAUUAUUUUUAAUUUCAACCAUUUGUAUUUGUAAUAAUUUAAAUUAUUCAAGUGUAAACAUUCACUUCCAUAAUAUGUUGGAUUUAUAAUCAAAACUAAACAAAUACAUUUUCCAAUUAACUCCAUUGAUAGAAAAUUCAAAUAACAUAGAUCUGGAUUACUUGGGGAGCGCGUAAAACAACCGGAAAUAAAUCAGCCGAACCAUACUUAUGCGGAAAAAUAUUUCGGCCGUACCAUAAUUUAGCAGAAAAAUAUUUGAUCCAAAAAUAUUACAGCCAACUGUAAUAAAGAGAUAAGGUCAGAUCUUUCAAAAAACGUUAACACGUGAUAAAAAAUAAAUAAAAGAGAAAUCCCGUACAAAUUAUUUUAAAAUCAAAUACAAGUUAACCAGAUGUCCUGAGUAACCCACUUCUAUUGAUUUUUUGAACUUUUAGUCAAUGAAGUUAAUUGGAAAAUAUAUUGGUUUAGUUUUGAUAAUAAAUUCAACAUGUGUAUCUAAGUGGAUGUUUAUCUAUAUUUGAAUAAUUUAAAUGCUU